GUGCUCAAUUUCAGCAGGACAUAUACCAAAGUUGGAAUAAUAUGGAGAAGGUUAAUGCACAAGAAUAAAAGGCAAGUCUGUGAAGCAUUCCAAAUUUUU
ensembl:snRNA U6 U6 spliceosomal RNA